rfam:Paenibacillus polymyxa SC2 plasmid pSC2, complete sequence.
GGAGGGUUGACCGAGUGGACGAAGGUAGCGGUUUUGAAAGCCGUAGGGGUGAAAGCUUCCGUGGGUUCGAAUCCCACACCCUCCU